UACGUAGGGUGCGAGCGUUUGUCCGGAAUUAUUGGGCGUAAAGGGCUCGUAGGCGGUUUGUCGCGUCGGGAGUGAAAAUCCAGGGCUUAACUCUGGACUGGCUUCCGAUACGGGCAGACUAGAGGUAUGCAGGGGAGAACGGAAUUCCUGGUGUAGCGGUGAAAUGCGCAGAUAUCAGGAGGAACACCGGUGGCGAAGGCGGUUCUCUGGGCAUUACCUGACGCUGAGGAGCGAAAGUGUGGGGAGCGAACAGG
rnacentral:rRNA from 1 species